UACGUAGGGUGCAAGCGUUGUCCGGAAUUAUUGGGCGUAAAGAGCUCGUAGGCGGUCUGUCGCGUCUGCUGUGAAAACUCAGGGCUUAACCCUGAGCUUGCAGUGGGUACGGGCAGACUGGAGUGCGGUAGGGGAGAAUGGAAUUCCUGGUGUAGCGGUGGAAUGCGCAGAUAUCAGGAGGAACACCGAUGGCGAAGGCAGUUCUCUGGGCCGUAACUGACGCUGAGGAGCGAAAGCGUGGGGAGCGAACAGG
rnacentral:rRNA from 1 species